UAGCCGUAAACGAUACUCGCUAGGUGUCGGCCACGGUGCGACCGUUGUCGGUGCCGUAGGGAAGCCGUGAAGCGAGCCACCUGGGAAGUACGGCCGCAAGGCUGAAACUCAAAGGAAUUGGCGGGGGAGCACAACAACGGGUGGAGCUUGCGGUUUAAUUGGAUUCAACGCCGGAAAUCUUACCGGGACCGACAGCAACAUGAAGGCCAAGCUGAAGACUUUGCCGGAUUAGCUGAGAGGUGGUGCAUGGCGUAGUCGUGU
rnacentral:rRNA from 1 species